AACCUUUACAAUGCACGAAAGUGUGAUAAGGGAAUCCUGAGUGCUUUACUUUUAGUAAGGCUUUUGCCAACCGUAAAUAGGUUGGCGAAUAAGUGGUGGGCAAGACUUGUGCCAGCCGCCGCGGUAACACCAGCGCCACAGGUGGCAACCGUUUUUAUUGGGCCUAAAGCGUCCGUAGCCUGUCCAGUAAAUUUUCUGUGAAAUCGUUAGGCUUAACCUAACGGCAUGCAGGAAAGACUACUAGACUAGGGACCGGGAGGCGUCAGAGGUAUUCCUGAGGGAGCGGUAAAAUGCUAUAAUCUCAGGAGGACCCCCGAUGGCAAAGGCAUCUGACGAGAACGGAUCCGACGGUGAGGGACGAAAGCCAGGGGAGCGAACCGG
rnacentral:rRNA from 1 species